CCUACGUGAGGCUGCAGUAGGGAAUCUUCCACAAUGGGCGAAAGCCUGCUGGAGCAACGCCGCGUGGGUGAAGAAGGUCUUCGGAUCGUAAAACCCUGUUGUUAGAGAAGAAAGUGCGUGAGAGUAACUGUUCACGUUUCAACGGUAUCUAACCAGAAAGCCACGGCUAACUACGUGCCAGCAGCCGCGGUAAUACGUAGGUGGCAAGCGUUAUCCGGAUUUAUUGGGCGUAAAGGGAACGCAGGCGGUCUUUUAAGUCUGAUGUGAAAGCCUUCGGCUUAACCGGAGUAGUGCAUUGGAAACUGGGAGACUUGAGUGCAGAAGAGGAGAGUGGAACUCCAUGUGUAGCGGUGAAAUGCGUAGAUAUAUGGAAGAACACCAGUGGCGAAAGCGGCUCUCUGGUCUGUAACUGACGCUGAGGUUCGAAAGCGUGGGUAGCAAACAGGAUUAGAUACCCCGGUAGUC
rnacentral:rRNA from 1 species